rnacentral:rRNA from 1 species
GAUGAACGCUGGCGGCGUGCCUAAUACAUGCAAGUCGAGCGAACAGACGAGGAGCUUGCUCCUCUGACGUUAGCGGCGGACGGGUGAGUAACACGUGGAUAACCUACCUAUAAGACUGGGAUAACUUCGGGAAACCGGAGCUAAUACCGGAUAAUAUAUUGAACCGCAUGGUUCAAUAGUGAAAGACGGUUUUGCUGUCACUUAUAGAUGGAUCCGCGCCGCAUUAGCUAGUUGGUAAGGUAACGGCUUACCAAGGCGACGAUGCGUAGCCGACCUGAGAGGGUGAUGGGCAAAACUGGAAAUGAGACAGGGUCCAGACUCCUACGGGAGGCAGCAGGGGGGAAUUGUCGAAAAGGGGCGAAAGCCUGACGGAGAAACGCGGGGGGGGUGAAGAAGGUUUUCGGGUUGUAAAGCCUUUUUUUUGGGAAAGAAAAAAAGUAGAUGAAAAUAUCGCUGUUUUGAGGGGACCUAAAGAAAAAGCAACGGCUAACUUCGUG